rnacentral:rRNA from 1 species
AGCCAGACUCCUACGGGAGGCAGCAGUGAGGAAUAUUGGUCAAUGGGCGAGAGCCUGAACCAGCCAAGUCGCGUGAGGGAGUACUGCCCUAUGGGUUGUAAACCUCUUUUGUCGGGGAGCAAAAGCCGGACGUGUCCGGCUGUGAGAGUACCCGAAGAAAAAGCAUCGGCUAACUCCGUGCCAGCAGCCGCGGUAAUACGGAGGAUGCGAGCGUUAUCCGGAAUGAUUGGGCGUAAAGGGUGCGCAGGCGGUCCUGCAAGUCUGGAGUGAAACGCAUGAGCUCAACUCAUGCAUGGCUUUGGAAACUGGAGGACUGGAGAGCAGGAGAGGGCGGUGGAACUCCAUGUGUAGCGGUAAAAUGCGUAGAUAUAUGGAAGAACACCAGUGGCGAAGGCGGCCGCCUGGCCUGUUGCUGACGCUGGGGCACGAAAGCGUGGGGAGCAAAUAGGAUUAGAUACCCUUGUAGA